CGGGGUCAGGACAUAUCUCGGAAGUGUGCUUCCACAUUUCCUGCGUUGUGACACUGCAGUCCCUAUGCAGACAGCAGGGUGCUGUUCACAUGUCCCAUGCCUUGUUGUGAAUUUAAUCGCUGUCAUAUAGAGCAAGGACGACGUACAUCCGUCAUGAAAAAGUCGCUGGUUUGGGAGGGUUUAUUAGUUGCUGCGAGACUGCUCCCCCUGCUGUUUAUGUCCUGAAUGCGACUUGCCCAAACAGAGGCAUUGUGCUGCUGUUCCAGCAGCUAGUCUGGAAAGCACCCUGGUGCCCACAGAGCCCUGUGGUUUUCUUUUGGUAGAAUACAGGAGGGGUUGACCAUUGCCUCCUUUUGCACAGUCUGAGAUGAUCCUUUCAGUAUCUUCCUAUAUCACUGCUCCCCGAUAUAGUACCAGUGGGGAUUCAAACCUGCAGCCUUCUGCUUGUUAGUCAAGCAUUUUCCCGCUGCGCUACUUAAGGUGGUUUCACACUGAGGAGUCUCCCCCUUUGAAAAAGACCUUUGCCUAUCUCUCAGUUGACCAAUUUGCCUCUCUCUCAGGGGGGGUGCACAGAGCAAUAUCGCUUGGCUUCCAGCCCUUGCUCAGCCCUCUUAGUGACAGAAGAGAAGGGGAAGGAUGCAGCAAACAGCAGAAGAGCUCAGGCAGAGAAGUGGCCUCUCCCAUUGGACAGCCACGUAAGAACUCUAAGAGGCGGGUCUCACGAUCCGUACCACCCGCUUUGGCCAUACAGCGCGCAGGGCAUACAGGAGAGAACCCUGGAGCCGGGAGGUGGCUUUUCGCCUCCCCUCUGGGGAUCUACUCAUGAAUAGCUUCACCACGGAGCCAUGCCACGGCUACUCACGAUUUUGAAAACACGGGUUUGUGGAGCGCUCGCUCCGCAAACCUGGUUUAAGGGGAGGAGAACUUAGGCGGGUUAACCCCUAGUUCCCCUAGAUCGAUUUCGGCUGAUCGCCAGAAUAGCCUCUAAUUGUUCCUAUUUGCCAGUGACCGCCCAUGUUUUCUGAGUUAUGUUCCUUGUAAAUCACUGCUCCUGCUCUUGUCCCCUUUUUUGCCUCUGGGAUGCCUUAUUUGUUAUUUCUCAUGUGUAUUGCCAGUUCUGUUGUUCUUCAGGAUUUCGUUCCCUCCAUAGGAACUUAGGAAGCUGCCAUAUAUUGAGCCAGAUCAUUGGUUCAUCUAGCUCAGUCUUGUCUACACAGACUGGCAGCAGCUUCUCCAAGGUUGCAGGCAAGAAUCUCUCUCAGCCCUAUCUUGGAGAUGCCAGGGAGGGAACUUGGAACCUUCUGCAUGUAAGCAUGCAGAUACUCUUCGCAGAGCGGCCCCAUCCAUGAAGAGGAAUAUUUUACAGUACUCACAUGUAGUCUCCCAUUCAUACGCAACCAGGGCAAAUGCUGCUUAGCAAAGGGCACUCUGUGGUGCACAGCAUCUAGCAGGUGGAAUAUGCUCUUCAGGGCUUAGGCAGUAAUCCUUGUGAUGAGAACUGGGUGUUGCCAAUGGACCCCUAUUUUCAUUUGCAAAAUGGUGGAAGGUAUGUGCAUUCAGUAGUGGCAGGUCCCAAGUAAGAUUAGAAGGACAGCUAAGUAUGAGGAAGAAAACCACACUGAAUUCCCUGGCUGUAAGCUGAGGAGUUCCUCAUAUAAGGGCAAAUUGUGGCCCAGUAAGCAUAUGGUUUACAUUCCUUAACCGGGCUGCACGUGUCUCUCAACUUCAGAGCUUCUCUCCUUGGUUUUUAAUUUGUUUUUAACCAUUUUUAUCGGCUGGCAUGCUUUUUUAUUAUGUGUUUAUGUUUGCUAGCAACUGCAUUUAAAGAUACCGUGGCCUUGGGUUUACUGAACUGCCUAGGAAGAUAAGACGCUGAAGGCUGACGCUGAAGGUUGAAAGCUGCACGCGAUGGGAGCAAAGCACAGAAAGAAAUUAUCCAAAGAUUAAAAAAAGGUGGGAAAAUGCCCCGUCCCACAUUAAACAACUUCUUGACUAAAAGGGAAGAACACCCCCACAGAAAGGAAUGAACCACUUUUCACUCAGCUUCCUCAAUCCGUUCCACUAAAUGAUAAUCAGAAGGGAAACGUGGAGGAUGCUUUCGUGCUGCUGAAUUCCUCAGUGAACCCAGAAUCCUUACUACGUAUGAAGAACCAUCUGGCUAAAUGGGAUAUUUAUCCCAGAUGAGUUUUCAUGGAGCUUAGGAAGCUAAAUAUAGACAGUAUUGCCUGUCGAUCUAGACAUCGGCCUAUGCUCAGAUAUGACUGUUUGGGCUGCAGCCAUCUUGGAGUGGAUUGCCAAAUGCGUCUUAUAACUCAGCUUAUUCCUCUGAUGCCAUGUCCAGAGUCUUCCCACCGGGAUAUGCUUCUGUGCAAUAUGUUCCGCCAUCCUGGUGAUUUAGUCACACAUGAGCCUUCUCUUCCUACAGGCUCGAAACAUAGUGUUUCUGGUUGUAAUUGUGUAAAUUGGAGUUUUAUUAGUUGGAUUAUAGCGGAGUGGGCUGGGAAAAGAUGUAACCUAGCAUUUUUAUCUUUUUUACAAAAGUAGGAUGUGUUAAUGCUGCAGGAAACAUGGUCUAAGGAAGAUUUAAAUAUCAACGGCUAUGUGAUUUAUAAAUUGUUGCCCACUCUGACUCCAAUAGGGGAAGACUCAAAGGGGGCUUGACUUGCUGUGUUUUGCUUUCCUUAGAAGAGGACUCUCUAUGGUUGCUUGACUUUUUUCCUUUUGCAAUGGCUGUUCUCAUUAAAACCCCAUGUGAGGACAUAUUGUUAAUUAAUGUUUGCAUCCCUCCCCCCCCCCCCCAGUUCCUCUUAUGGCCCUAUGGCUGCCAUUUAUCAACUGGACUCUUAUAUCCUGGAAACUAGUUUGAAGAUCCCGUGCACUGAGAUUCUGCUCUCGGGUGAUUUCAAUGCAAGAUGUGGCCCGGAUAAUAAUGCAGUAAUCGCCUCCCAUUUGUGGAGUGGGGGUGAUAACUCAGAUGGUUCCUUUACUCAUAUUUGCUUAUCUAAAGAUAGCGUCCUUAAUAAGGCAGGGGCUAAAUUGUUACAUCUUGCUAGAUCUUUUGAUCUGAUUCCUUUAAAUGGUACUGUCCCCCCUGUCAUCCCAGGUGAAUUUACAUAUUUAUCCUCUUGUGGCAGCAGUGUGGUGGACUAUAUUUUGGUUUCUCCCUGCUGUUUAAUUGGGUCGUACUGUUUGAAGUGGGCGAUCAAGCUUUUAGAGAUCACCUGCCCCUUCUUUUUUGCCUUGAUAUACCACAAGCUAGAAAAGAUUGUUUUAUUUCUAGCUCAGUUGAAUCCUUCCCUACUAAAAUGGGAUGGAAGGUAAAAUGGUCACCUGAUGUGGAAAGGGCAUUGAAUACCCUGUAUUCUUCUGCAGUUGGCAUUGAGUUAUAUAACUGUGUUGUGCAGGCCCCGUCGGGAGCGCUAGCAAUCUCCUGUUAUGAGAAGCUUGAGGCUGAGGUUUCGCAAAAGAUCCUGACUACAGGUCAACUGCACUCUUUUAAGAGAGGUAGGAUGAAUGACUCUAAUGAGUGGUUUGACUCCCAGUGCAGGGAUCUGUUUCCCAGGCUGAGGGGCAUAUAUAGGGAAUACAGAGCUGGUUCCAACCAAGUGCUCCCUCCAGAAUAUUUCACAGCUAAGAAAGCUUAUAAAAUAUGUGUGAGGUCUGCCAAGUCCCAGGCACAGAAAAACAUCUGGAGGAGAUUAAUUUUGGCCACUCAUAAUAAGGAUAGUGGUGCCUUCUGGCACAUUAUUUCAGGUUCUACAUAUCCUAGAGUGCUUUCUAUGGUUCCCGCACCCGCUUGGGUAGCCCACUUUCAUGCUCCCUUUAAUGGAGCUUUGGCCUCUUUGGGUAAUGAUCCCUCCACCCCUGAGAAGUUGCCCUUGUGGCCACCUCUUACACCAGAUGAUAUAGUUAAUCUAGUUAAAGGUUUAAAGAAAAAGAAAAUGUCUGGUUCUGAUCUCAUUUCCCCCGGAGACAGUAUUAGGUAACCUUGAUUGGUGGGCUCAUGUCCUAGCCAGUUUGUUUACCUCGAUUAAUAACACAGGUGUUAUUCCCUCUUCCUGGAGUGAGGCCAUUGUGGUCCCUAUUUAUAAACAUGGCUCCCCCUCCAUCCCUUCCAACUAUAGACCCAUUAGCUUGUUAUCGGUGAUAGGCAAACUUUACGCCCGUUAUCUUUUGGAUAAGUUGGAGGGCUGGACGCUGGAGUACCAUAUUCUAGGCCCCGAGCAGGCGGGAUUCAGGGCUGGCCACUCGACGCUAGAUCACAGUAUGGUAUUAUACCAUCUGGCAUGCAAGUAUACAGGGUAAACUCUUUGUCACAUUCAUGGAUUUGUGAGCUGCUUUUGAUUCCAUACCAAGAGAGGUACUAUGGGAUAAACUUCUUUUGUUGUUUGUAGUGAAAUAUCUAUUGAUAAAAGGCUCUUAUUCCUAAUCAGACGACUUUAUGCCAAUUCCACAAUCAAAGUUAGAUAUGAUCCUUCAGGGGCCCUAACUGAGCAUAUUCCUACCACCCGAGGAGUCAGGCAAGCUUGUCUGCUGGCACCUGCAUUGUUUAAUUUAUUUAUUAAUGACCUGGUCCAGGUUUUGGGAAGGGCAGAUGCCCAUUCUCCUAAACUGGCAGAUGUAAGAGCACUGGCAUUGUUAUAUGCUGAUGACAUGGCGUUUUUAUCUCAGUCUCGGCUUGGCUUAAUGAGACUCUUGGAGGCAUUUGCCAAGUAUUGUAAUAUAAACAAACUUUCCAUUAACUUUGAUAAAUCAAAGGUUUUGGUAUCUCGAAUUCUAGGAAAGUUUAUAAAUGGAGGAUCAACCAGACCAGUAUAGAACAAGUCACCAAGUUCAAAUACCUUCGGAUCUAUUUCCAAUCCAACUUGAACUGGAAAUUGCAGCAGUUACACUUUCUCUCCCUGGCACGUAACACACUAUAUGCCUUUUUGCGCUUUUUUAAUGGAAAAGGCGGCCAAUUUAUACCUAUGGCUUUGCGAGUGUUUCGAGCCAAGAUUGUGGCUCAAAUGCUCUUCAGAGUCGCUAUCUGGAUCCAAGGGGUACAUCCAGAUAUCGAAUUGAUCCAGUCUAGAUUCCUUAGAGCCAUUUUCAGAGUUCCCAAAUGUGUAUCUUCCGCUGCUUUAUGUUUGGAGACCGGCUCUUAUCCGAUCUCCUGUUUAGCUUGGGAGGCCUCAUUCACACGCUGGCUCAAACUCUGUUUGGGACCCUGAGGGACCUUCAUAUGUUCAACAUAUGUGGACAGACACCUUCCCUAAUCCAUGGUUGUCUGUUGUCACCAACAAAUUGUUGGGCAUGGGGCUUUCCCCCUCUCACAUUUUCUCCUUGGGUUUUGUAAAGGCGAAGGCUAUUGCCAUUCAGCACCUAAAGGAUAUUGAGUACCAACACCUACUUGACCUUGGAAACAAAUAUGGUUCCCCUUUGUACCUUGGCAUUUCCCCUCCAGCUGGAAAACAGGCUGCAAGUUAUCUAACCAUUCUUCAUUUUGUUAAAUUUAGGCCAGCCUUUGCUAGGGCUAGGCUGAAUGUAUUACCUUCAGCCUUGCUUCAAAAGAGGUUCUCUAAAGAACCCCGUUUCCGGGUUGUGUCUAUGUGGGGAGGGUAGUUUGGAAACAGUCACUCAUAUUCCUUUAUACUGUUCCCUUUAUCGUGAUUCUAGGAAUGAAUUACUGCAUCUAUGACUAGAGCAAUUCCUUGGUAGGUCUGAUCCUUUUUAUCUUAAUUGUUGUUUAGCUGAUACCAAUGAUGAAGUCACCAAAGUGUUAGCCAAAUUUAUUUAUGGGGCGAUGAGACAGACAUCCCGCCACAGACUUUUAUAAGUUUGAUCUUAUGGUAGUUUUAGUCUUACCUGUAUGUAUUGUUAUAUUUAUUCUGCUUAUUGUAAUUCUGAAUGGCUGUGUUAUUGUCACUUUUGUUUUUGUUUGGCCUAUGGCUGCAAUAAAAGAACUACUACUACUACUA